GCAGGACACUGUAUUGGGAGUGGAGACAGUCUGUCUCCCUCCCCAGCGGCUGGGAGUAUGUAUGGGAGAGGAGCUUGUUACCCCCUCUCUCCAGCGGCAGCUUAACGUACCAGGGGGUGACAGUAAGCCCCACAACCGUGCAGAUGGGACCGUGGUCUCUGCACUUACAGCACAGUCGGUCCUGUCCCCCAGCAACAGGGCUGUUUAGCCAAAGUGGAGACAGUCUGUCUCCCCCCACAGCAGCAUGGUGGUUUGUCCAAAGGGGA